rnacentral:rRNA from 1 species
AUUGAACGCUGGCGGCAGGCCUAACACAUGCAAGUCGAGCGGAUGAAGAGAGCUUGCUCCUGGAUUCAGCGGCGGACGGGUGAGUAAUGCCUAGGAAUCUGCCUGGUAGUGGGGGACAACGUUUCGAAAGGAACGCUAAUACCGCAUACGUCCUACGGGAGAAAGCAGGGGACCUUCGGGCCUUGCGCUAUCAGAUGAGCCUAGGUCGGAUUAGCUAGUUGGUGAGGUAAUGGCUCACCAAGGCGACGAUCCGUAACUGGUCUGAGAGGAUGAUCAGUCACACUGGAACUGAGACACGGUCCAGACUCCUACGGGAGGCAGCAGUGGGGAAUAUUGGACAACGGGCGAAAGCCUGAUCCAGCCAUGCCGCGUGUGUGAAGAAGGUCUUCGGAUUGUAAAGCACUUUAAGUUGGGAGGAAGGGUUGUAGAUUAAUACUCUGCAAUUUUGACGUUACCGACAGAAUAAGCACCAGCUAACUCUGUGCCAGCCGCCGCAGUAA